AUGGGUAAUGCAAAAAGCAAAGCCGGUGAACAUCAAAAAGAAGAGGACGUAGCUACAGGUAUUAAGCAUUGCACCAGUUUUACAUGCAUUUCUAACAGUAACAAGCUUGAAUGUACAGGUCAAGCGAGUGAAAAAAAUGUAGAAUAUAGUCCAUUCUUGAUACCCUUUGAUGAGAAACAUGAAGCUAUUUACGCGACGCAACAUGCCCCUACGAACGAGACAAAUCUGGAAGAAUAUAACCAAAGCAACGUAAUAGUGGCUGCAAUUGUUGACCCAAUAUACACGACCGAAACAGAAUGGGUAAUACCUGGACAACAUGAUGCAAACAACACAACUUCCGAAAAGGCUGAAACUGGAUCUUUAAUUAAUGAAUGUAGAAAAUACGCUGAGGAAGCAAGGGAGCAGUACAAUGCACGGAAGCGUGCUGCUUAUCGGAAGAAAAAAGAUAAUGAUAUUGUCAACUUACAAGAUGAGAAUCAGCCUGUACUUGCUAAAACUGAUCAUAGGGAUCUUAUCAACGCUCGUAGGCGGGCGGCUUAUCGCAAUAUCAAGCCAGGUUGUUUGGAUAAACAUAGUUUCAAUGGCUAG
rnacentral:rRNA from 1 species